rnacentral:piRNA from 1 species
UGUGUUUUGCUCCUGUAGAAAGUUGCC